GUUGCCUGGGACAGCCAUGACACACCAUGGAGGAUGGGCCCAGGACCCAUGCUAUGGGGCACCAGCUAUGGAGAGGCAGGUUGGGGCGCAGUGUAAAGGAAGGAUGACAAGGAAGGGACCUGCAGGGUAGGGGUGUGAGGCCUCCAUGUUCCUGGGGAUCCCUGCAGUUCUGGGGGCUGUGUCCUUUACCUGAAGAAGUCUCUUUCCUCAGUGGCACGUGCUUCUCCUUGGCACAGUAUCUGCUCAACCAGGCCCGUGCUC
rnacentral:lncRNA from 1 species